UCUUUAAGCCGCAACAAUCAAGAACUAUGAAACUUCAUUAGUUCAUUUUCACGCCUUUCGUUUAUUCCAAUGUGAAUCCACCUACCUAGAAGGACUAAGCUUCAGCAACUAUUGCUUUCAGAAUCUCGAUUCGCAAUCAGAUUCUUCUACUCUUACUCGUGUUCUAUCUUGGAUACACCAGAUUUGGAAGGUUGUGAGAUCUAUUAAUGAGAAGGAACCCUGAUUCGGCGAAACCAUGGAACACUUCAUCAAAAAAUACAUGUAUGUUGAAGCUUUGAAUUAUGUUGGUGUAUUUGGAAAUUAUUAGAGAAAAGUUAUGGUUAUGUAGUCGUAUGUUGAAGUAAUUCAUUGUUUUAUUUGAAUUGUAUGUGGCGUAUGACCCUUGAAACUUUUGAAAUGAAUAAAAACGUUUGUAGUAUUGUGAAGAUUA